AGAUGAACUCUCCCAUCCCCUUGAGGGAGUAAGACCCCUGGUAGACCACCAGGUUGAUAGGCCGGCGGUGUAAGCGCAGUAAUGUGCUCAGCCGACCGGUACUAAUGGGUCGAGGGCUUGACGGA
rnacentral:rRNA from 1 species